UACGUAGGGUGCAAGCGUUGUUCGGAAUCAUUGGGCGUAAAGCGCGUGUAGGUGGUCAAUUAAGUCGAUUGUGAAAGCCCUGGGCUCAACCGAGGAAGUGCAGUCGAAACUAAUUGGCUAGAAGAUGGUAGAGGAAGGUGGAAUUCCAAGUGUAGAGGUGAAAUUCGUAGAUAUUUGGAGGAAUACCGGCGGCGAAGACGGCCUUCUGGGCCAUUCUUGACACUGAGACGCGAAAGCGUGGGUAGCAAACAGG
rnacentral:rRNA from 1 species